CGCCCGUUCGCGCUGCCAGCAGCUUCCGCCUGCUACGGUCCUGGCAAGCACCUCGGGAUCCCAUUCCUUCACAGGGACCCUAGCCAGUUAAAGCUGAUACAUUCCUGUGGGUCAACUAUGCAACUAACUCAGAUUUUGAGCAAACAAAGCUCUCAAGUUGGUGAUCCUCAGGAGUCUCUGCAUUAGUUGGACAGCUCUUCUGGAAUUAUCUUCUAAGUCAACUGUGGGUUGGGUAGGUGGCUCUGCUGAUUUUUCGCUGGACUUCCACAUUUGGGACGAGUUGGCUGUCAUCAGCUCUAGAAAGGGUGUGGCCGUUUUACAUUGGCUGUUUUCCUCACAUUCCUCAAGCAGAUGGAGUCUCGCUCUGUCACCCAGGCUGAAGUGCAGUGGUGUAAUCUCGGCUCACUGCAACCUCCGCCUCCCGGGUUCAGGCAGUUCUCCUGCCUCAGUCUCCUGAGUAGCUGGGAUUACAGGCGCGCACCACCACGCCCGGCUAAUUUUUGUAUUUUUAGUAGAGACGGGUUUCACCAUGUUGGUAAGGCUGAUCUCAAACUCGUGACCUUGUGAUCUGCUCACCUUGGCCUCCCAAAGUGCUGGGAUUACAGGUGUGAGCCACUGUGCCCGGCCUUGAUCAUUUUAAAUUCAUAAAUAAUACUUAGCCCCUGAGUAAUUAUAAUAAAUAUAUAAUUAAUGCAUAUAUCACCCAUAGUUAAUUAGGAAUAUUUUAUUGGCUUAAUGAGCAAAAUAUGAUCAUAAAAUAUAAGCCAUCAUAGCCCAGAUGUAUAGCAAUAAAAGAGCUUAGAUUAUAAUAUCUCACAAUACAAGUCUGCAUUAGCAAUGACACUGUUAUAAAAUAUUUAUAACACUUUCUGAUUUAAUUUUAAAGAGAUUCAUUCAGUAUCUUUUUGGCAUUUGAAAUGAAACCUUAUUUUCCCUCCACACAAUAGCUGAUUAAAAACAGCUUUUGAAGAGGUCCCAGGCAACACACACAGAGGGGAAAUGGUUAGAUACGUGGGGCAUCUUUGUAUUUUCACAUUAAAAUUCAAUGUUAUUCAGACCCAAGUAGAUAGAUAAUAAAAGUGGCAUUCAAGUUGGGAAUGGUAGCACAAGCCUGUAGUCUCAGCUACUCAGGAGGCUGAAAUGGGAAGAUCACUUGAGCACAGGAGUUUGAGGUUUUAGUGCACUGUGAUUGCACCUGUGAAUAGCCACUGCACUUCAGCCUAACAUAGCAAGACCCCAUCUCUUUUUUUAAAAUGUUACAUUUAUAAUCAGUGAGGAAAAUAUAAACUAUACAAUAAAUGAAAGGGUCAUUGGCCAAUUGUUUGGAGGGAAAAAAUACACCAUGUUCUAAAAUAAAUUUCUAGUGAUUUAUUGUGACUUUCAUGCAUUUGGAUGAUUUUAAAGAUUUUAUAUAAAAAUGAAACCAUAGCCUUACGAGAAGAAAAUAUAAAGAAAAACUUGUAUAGUCUUGGGAGGGGGGAUUAUAUUAUGUGAAACAUUAAGUAAAAUAUUUAUUUUUUAAAUAUUAAAAAACUAAAAACUGUGCUUUAGAAGUCACCAAAAAAUUAAAGGGCAGGCUGGGCAUGGUGGAUCACACCUGUAAUCCCAGCUUUGGGAGGCUGAAAUGGGAGAAUCACUUGAGGCGGGGAAGUUCGAGACCAGCCUGUGCAAUAUAACAAGACCCCCAUCUCUCCAAAAAAAAAAAAAAAAAAAAAAAAAAAAAAAAAAAAAAGCCAGGCAUAAUGGCGUGUGCCUAUAGUCCUAGCUACUCAGGAGGCUGAGAUGGGAUGAUUGCUUGAGCCCAGGAGUUUGAGGCCACAGUAAGCUAUGAUUGCACUAUUGCACUCUAGCCUGGGUAACAGUGUGAGAACGAGACCCUGUCUCAGAAAAAAGAAAAAAAGAAAAAGAAAAAGGGCAAGUGCCAAAUGGAAAGAGAAAAAAAAAGGACUAACAAUUAGGAAGUCUUACAUAUCAGUAAGGAAAAGAUAAAUAGCCAAACAGAAAAAUGGGCAAAGGACUUGUACUGGUAAAUCAGAAAAGAAGAAAUGAAAAGGGUCAGCAAAGAUUUUUUUUUCAUUUCCAUCAAUAAUAAAAGAUGCAAAUCAAAGCAACAUUAAAAUACCAUUUUGCCUAUCUAAUUGGUAAGGAUUAUUUUUAAAGAUAAUACUCAGUAUUAGAGAAGGUAAUUAAUAAUGUGUGCCACAAGAUGUUCAUUGCAGUGUCCUUCCUUCCUCCCUCCCUUCUUUCCUCCCUCCCUCUUUCCCUUCUUUGCUCUCUCUUUCUUUUUUCUUUAUCUUUUUUUGGUAUAUGUUUGAUAUUGGUGAAAAACUGAAAAAUGAAAAUGACCAACAAAAAGAGGACUGGUUAACUAAAGUAUGGUAAAUUCCUUCAACCAAACAUCAACACUAUUCAACCAAUAAAAAUGACACUAUAGUUAAUAUAUUUGAAAAGAUGUUCAUAAUAUAUGAAGUUUUUGUUUUGUUUUGUUUUCUUAGACGGAGUCUUGCUCUGUCGCCAGGCUGGAGUGCAGUGACACGAUCUCAGCUCACUGCAACCUCCACCUCCCAGGUUCAAGCGAUUCUCCUGCCUCAGCCUCCCAAGUAGCUGGAACUACAGGCACGCACCACAACACCCAGCUAAUUUUUGUAUUUUCAGUAGAGACAGGGUUUCACCAUGUUGGCCAGGAUGGUCUUGAUCUCUUGACCUCGUGAUCUGCCCGCCUCGGCCUCCCAAAGUUCUGGGAUUACAGACGUGAGCCACCAUGCCCGGCAUAUAUGAAGUUUUAAAAAAUCAGAAUACAGAACAAAAUUUAUUGGGAGAUGAGCUUCUUUCUUUCUCUCUUCAACACCAUCGCCACAUCACCUCCACAUAUACACACACUGAAAAGAUACUGAAAAGACAUAAUAACCAUGGGAAAUGGAGAUUACUGGAUUGUUAAAUGUUCUUUUUGCCUGUCUUUAUUCUCUAACUUUGCUAUAAUGAACAGAAAUUAUUUUUUGAUAAGCAAAAAAUAUUUUAAAUUUAAACAUGUAAAGUAACUUAGUAGUUGUCUUUUCAAAAUAUGUAAGAAUCAUUAGUUCACUAGUUGGUUAAAUAUGUUUUUAAUCCCAACAUCUUGAUAAUUGUCGCAAAAUUGAGGGAACAUUUUUUGAACUCUAAAAUGCUAUAGAAUUGACAGAUCAUUUUUCAGUUCAUAAGUUAUUACUUAUAAUCAGUUUUUUUAUUGUUACUAUGGCAAUAUUUUAUACACAAGAAUGGCUGAGGUUAGGAAUUUGUGCCCUGAAAAUUGUAUCAACAUAUCAAAUAUGAAGUAAAUAACAAUUUCUUGCUUUAAAUAUAACAAAGAUGUGGGAAGAAGUGGUAGGCAAGAGUCUCUGUGUUACCAUGGGAACGAUUAAGUUUUCCAAGGUGCAAACCAGCCUCAUUCCAGCUUCAGGGUCAAUGACUUACUAGCUCAGAGGGAAAUGUAUAAAUAUUUAAGUACAUACCUACUAUCUGUACAGAGUGACUCUCAUUACCCAGAGAACUGCUGUAAAAUAUUAUUUAUUCACAGAUUACACAAAACCAAUCUAAAUUAGUACUUUUAUACAUUCUAUUUGGGGAGUACUUAAGGUGUAUGAGCAAACAAAUUGUUAUCCAGGUCACUCCAGAACUGUUGUAUACAGAUUAAGAAUUGAUGUUGGAUACUAAUUAAAAUCAUUAAAGCAAAAUCAAAAAACACUUUGGCUAGCAUUUCAAUUAUUUUUUAAACAGGAUUUCUUAAAACAAUCCCCAAAGUAGUCUUGUAAUUUGUUCAUUUUAAGGAUCUAUGUUACUCUGAGGCCAAUCAAGGGGGCUAACAGUCUAGUUGGGGAGCCAAGAUAGCCAUUCAUCAAUUCAUUCAUUCAUUCAGUAAAAUGUAUUGAGAACCUACUAUGUACCAAGCAAUGUGCUGGGCACUAAGCAUUGAAGAAUACCUGAAACAUGGCACCUGACCUCAAAAAGCUUAAAAUUAGGAGACAUAGACAUGUAAGUAAAUAACUGCUAUAGGCAAAUCUCAGCAACUGCCACACCUGCUUGCUCCUUUAGCAGAACUUCUCUGAUUGGCCAUAUUCUGCACAUAGUGACCAACUCACCUCUUUUCCCUAUCUGCUUUCCUUGCUAUAGCUGAGAAAAAAGCUGUGGCCCAAAAGUUUCUCCCCUGAGAGGGACAGGAUCAGAUUGUCUUUUCAAGAGUUCCCAUGUGCAAUACAGAGCUGAAGUUGAAGCUGAAAGGAUUCAUAGAGAAAGGCCAGUAUAAAUCUUCAGCAUACCAAAGUUAUGAGAAAGGAGAAAGCUUGCAAUGCAUGUAUAGAGGAGGUGCUGAGGAGUUGGUGGUAGCAGCAGACAAGGGAGGAGAAAUGGAUAGAAUCAUGGUUAUUGUCAAGGUGGAGGAUCCGUGAACUGCAACUGAAGAGGGCUAGUGACAUGACCCAGUUCUUAGGGCUGUCUCUAUUCCUGAAUAUUUACUUAAUAUAAGGCAAUUCUUAUAUAGCAUUAGGGUAAAAAAAAAAAAAAAAGGAUUCGAAGUUUCCGAGAGACUUCUGUUUCAGCCAUAACAGAAUAGUGAAUUUACCUUCCCCCAGUAAAUAGCCAUAAAAUUAAAUAAAGUAAAUAAAACCAACUGUUUUCAGACAUUGGACAAUAGAAAGCACAGAACUCUAUGAUCCUUGAGAGAAGGGGAACAAAGAAGGUGUUAAUCACAA
rnacentral:lncRNA from 1 species